CUCUCUCUCACCCAGAUGGGAGGCGGCUGCGGGAAGAGCCUCAGUGACUGGAUGGUGAGACAAGGCAUGGUGAGCAGGGGCCAGGCCCGGCCACCCGGAAAGCUGGGGGUGCUCGCAGGGCUCCUGCCAGGCAUGGGCUUGGGGCACCGUGCUGCUGUCCAAGGGAGUGGGACCCAGGAGAAGGCCCAGAGGAGCAAGGAGGGGCAGCUGAGGGUCUUGCGGGACCCCAGGGCUCAGGCUGUUUCCGGGUUGGCCCGGCCAGCCCAGCUUCCGCAGCUCCUCUGUGCCCGGUUCCUGCUCUUGAGUCUCGGGCAAGGACAAGGUAGCCCGUCUGGCAGCUAAGAGGCGAUGGGGAUAGCGGAGCGGGAGACGGAGCCAGUGUGCGCAGCUGGGCACUUGCUGUUGCCACUGCUGCUGGGAAGUCGGCUCCUGCCUUCUCUCUGGGCUCUGCUCCUGCCUGGGGGGUCCUCAGGUGCUGGAUGACAGAGCUUGGAAACCAAACUGGCCUGGUUGGGGAAAGACUCUGUCUGUCUUUUCCAAAGUAGCUCACUAGUAACUAGUGCUAUUAGUGCCAUUACUGAUUAAUAGUAAAUAGGAACUGGCCUAUUGGUUUCUUGAGCAUCUCCUCCAUGCCAGGCCCUGUGCUAAGCUUUUGACAUCCCAUUUCAUCCUCACAGCCACCUGGACGGUAAGUACUGCUGCUAGCCUCACCCUAAGGACGAGGGAAAUCAGGCGCAGAGAAGUUAAGUAACCCACUCAGAGUCACACUGUGUUAAGGGGUGAGCUAGGUCCAGCUCUUUCUCACUCUGAAGUCUGUGCCCAUGACCUCCAACUGGAGUCUGCCCCUGCAGAAGCCGUUAGAGAGGAAAGCCUCCAACUCCUGCCCCUGUGUGGGAGCCAUCGUGGCACAGCCCAUGUCUUUGUGGCUGAAAGUGAAAUGUCCCCAUCUGUAGCGCCACCCCUCUGGGUCUACCCACCUGGCCUUGUCUGGUCAACUUCGCGCCUCUGCUCUCAGGCCCUGCUAUGCCCCCUUCUAUCAUGAAAUCUGCGUCUGCAGAGACACCAGGGGAUGGAACCUGGGGACCCCUGGCCCACUAACCAUGUCCCCAUCCCAGCCUUCACGGCUGGAGAAAAUGCCUGGGGUCUGACCCUGGGCUUGGCGUGUCUUUUGUCAGAUGCUCCUGAGCACCUGCAGCAUAGCCCCUGCCCCAGGCCAUUGCCCAAAGCCCCUCCUCCAGCCUAGAAUCCUACCCGAAGGGUGUGUCGGAACUGGUGUUCUUCUCUUCAAGGGGAAGGAGCUCCCUCUGACCCCUGGCCCUGCUCCAGCUGCUGGGAGCCUGGUCCCCUGCUUAGUCUCCUGGCUCUGCACCUCCAUCGCCCACAGCCUGGCACAGCGGGCCCAGUGCUGGGUCCGGGCAGCUAGGCAGCUGAGGCUGGGGUGGGAGGCUGCCCAGGGCCACCCAGCUGCAGGGCGCUGAGCUGGCACGUCUUCCACCUUGUCACCUAGGGCACUGCCUUACCCUCUGCCCUUCCUUCCAGAUCCCAGUCACCCAGGCCUGCCUCAUGGAGGACAUCGAGCAGUGGCUGUCCACUGACGUGGGGAAUGAUGCGGAAGAGCCUAAGGGGGUCACCAGCGAAGAAUUUGACAAAUUCCUGGAAGAACGGGCCAAAGCCGCGGACCGAUUGCCCAACCUCUCCAGCCCCUCAGCUGAGGGGCCCCCGGGUCCCCCAUCUGGCCCAGCGCCCCGGAAGAAGACCCAGGAGAAAGAUGAUGACAUGCUGUUUGCCUUAUGAGUGUGGGGUCUGGCACCCUGCAGCCCAGGUCCCCACUGCUCUCACACCCUUAGGCUGGGACCUCCCUCCCUCCUCUGGUGUUAAGGCUGCUUUGGGGGUGGCUUGUUACCCCCUUUUCCUCCUCUUUGAAGAUGGAGCUGCCCCAGCUGUGGCUGGGGGUGUGGAGGCAGUGGGAUGAACUGGGGGGACAGGUCUGCGCUGCAGUGGGAUCUGGCUGCUCUGCCUCCUUUCCCACCCCAGCUGACCAUCAGACUUUGCUGAGAAGUGGAGGCCCCAGGACAGGCUGGCUGGCUGGCUGGCUGCUUGACCCAGUGUGACUCUCCUUCACUGAGUGAUACCCUGCUCCGGGCCCAUGCCCCAAGGAGCCCUUCAGAGCCCACACUGCCAGUCGAGGCCUGGCUGGAGGCUUGCCACAGUGGAAGUUCUGCCGAGCCUCUUGUCCCUUCCCUGCUCUGCUGCAUGGGGCCCCAUGGCUUUGGCUGGCCACUGAGGGUAGGGUGUGGAGGUGUGGAGGCCCCCUGAGGAGCUGCGGCGGCCCAGGUACGAAGCUGCAACUCUGCGCGCAGUGGGCGAGAUCUCAUCAGCCCCAGGCUGCAGGUGAGGCUUCAGGGGAUGCUGGGGCCCCACUGCCCCUCCGCUGCCUUGCCCUCCAUCCUUCCUCUGUUCCUUCUGGCCGGGCACCACAGCACUGGGGCUCACCUCUUGGUUGAUCCUCUUGUACUGGGAGAGGUGCCUUUUGUAUCCCCAAUUAAAGGUAGAAAACCACCCUGCUAGC
rnacentral:sRNA from 1 species